GAUGAACGCUGGCGGCGUGCCUAAUACAUGCAAGUCGAGCGAACAGACGAGGAGCUUGCUCCUCUGACGUUAGCGGCGGACGGGUGAGUAACACGUGGAUAACCUACCUAUAAGACUGGGAUAACUUCGGGAAACCGGAGCUAAUACCGGAUAAUAUAUCGAACCGCAUGGUUCAAUAGUGAAAGACGGUUUUGCUGUCACUUAUAGAUGGAUCCGCGCCGCAUUAGCUAGUUGGUAAGGUAACGGCUUACCAAGGCGACGAUGCGUAGCCGACCUGAGAGGGUGAUCGGCCACACUGGAACUGAGACACGGUCCAGACUCCUACGGGAGGCAGCAGUAGGGAAUCUUCCGCAAUGGGCGAAAGCCUGACGGAGCAACGCCGCGUGAGUGAUGAAGGUCUUCGGAUCGUAAAACUCUGUUAUUAGGGAAGAACAAAUGUGUAAGUAACUAUGCACGUCUUGACGGUACCUAAUCAGAAAGCCACGGCUAACUACGUG
rnacentral:rRNA from 1 species